UUCUAUAUGGAAAACCUUCAGCCCCAGUAAAGUGUCUUUGCUUUCCUGCACCACCCCUGACCUGGCUCUGCUGUGCAAUUACCACCUUCUACAGGCAAGACCAUUUUGCGACUCCUCAACUAAGCACUGAAGUUAGGAGCACUUGGAAGGAGAAUAUGGAGGACCUUUGCCAUAGCCAAGAGGUGAAUCAGUGCUGGGAUUAAACCAAGAGCCUCAAAGCCCUCUUCCACUGAACCACAUCUCCAGCCUGUACACAGGUGGCUUCUAGGCAGUAAAUGUGGACAGCCCAAGAGAAUGCAGACCACGGGCCUGGCAACAAUCUUUCUCCUGCUAAUCAGGGCCUGGAGGAGGUGAGAUGACCUGAAUGGAAAUGAACUCCAGACAGGACCUGGCUCUCCUCCCAGGCCACCACAGAACCCGGAGAACAGAGUCCAGCAUCCCUACCAACUCAGGUUUGGUUAAGCCUUAUAUUAUCCCCCGCAGUCCUGGAGGUUAUUGGGGGGUUGGGGCUAGAAAACAAUAUCACAUUCUUUCUCAACCCUGAGAAUGAAGAGUAGAGAAAUGGGUACCAAGUGAUGGACAGGUACAAUGCAGGCACCCCUGCCAAAUCGUAGAAUGGAGGUGUCGACUUUUCUCUCUUACAGAUGGGGAAAACGAAAGCUUGGAGCACGUGGCGAUUGGCACAAAGUCUUGCAGAUUUUAUGUGGUAGAACAAAGUAAGAGCCAGACUUAGCUCUUUCCACACUGAGCGUGGGGGUUGUUUGAGAAAGGACAGCUUCCUCCUGGGGACCAGAGAGGGGAGAAGGAAGGAGAGCGUGCUGGAGAAAAUCACGCGGCGCAGGCACACAAUGGAAGGGUUGAAACCAGGUCUGUCCUAGAUAACUGGUGUGGUUCUUGCCAGGAGAGGAAGUCAGAGGCUAACUAUAGACCGAGGACCACGGCCGGAGGAACUCACUCCGUCUCAGGAUUGCAGCUUUCUCUGUGGUUAUUUUCCACUGUCCUCUCUUUCCCUGCAAUGCCCAGUGUUUAAACCUAGAAACGCAAAGGGGCAGCUAGGAAGCUGGUAGCCAACUUUGUCCAGUUCUGAGACUAGUUUGGAAGAGGUAAAGGGGAGAAAGGCCACGCUGUGUUGUUGGUGUGAGCAGCAUGGAGAAUUUUUUAAAGGGAGGAGAUAGCUGAAUCCUGGGUGGUUUAUAAAGAGGAAAAAGAGCUCACUAGAGUCAUUGGAGCCAGCACCUGCCCACAUCCCUUCUCCCAGGGAAUUUCUGGGCCCCUAUAAGAGGCCAAGUAUCAGGCUGAGCUGGUCCAAUGAAGAAAAACACGUGCUUCAGUUUGGCUGGCCAGGGAGGUAUCUCCAAGGAGGCAGCCUUAAGCUAGAAUCUGAGGGAGUUAGGCAUGCCAAGAAGAAGGGAAAUGGCCGAGGAAGAGAAUAUAAAGUCCCAGAGAAAAAGGAGAAGCAAGUAGGCAGAGCAGUGUGGCUAUCGUGGAUUGCGCUAUGGGAGAGAAGCAGGAGGUGGGUGGAGAGAGGCAGGGUCUGGGUCCUUGUCAACAAAGAGGGGUCUUAACCCUCGAGUAAGCAGACACUCCUGACCCCUUAAAUAGUGGCACAGAAGAGGAUUGAUGUUUUGGAAUGCGUCUUACUUCCCAGUAGAAAACAGACAUAGAAGGAAGCAAGCGGAAGAGGCCAAAAAAUUCAAAUUCUGCCAUCCAAGUCAAUGACCCUACCUGAAGACUCCCUAUUUUUAAAGGGACACUUCACAAACCUUCACCUGCAUCCCAUCAGAGUUUUUGGUGACAACGAAGGGAUACUACAGGAGGUGGAACUUCUGCAGCUGGCUUUGAGCACAACCACAACCAUUUUCCUGCUUAGAGCUUGGAAAGCCUGUGAGUUGACCUCCAGAGGAAGACACCAGCAAACUGCAGCGACCAUGAAUCCCCAGGUGUUGGCCUCAUGGGAAAUCCUUGACUCGUUAAUCAUGCUGAUGAGUGCAGUUGACUUAGUGUUAUGGUGAUGGUGGUGCCUAAAACUGAGUUAGCACUUGCUCCUGACUGGCCAAGAGGCAGAACUUUAAGCAGAGA